GGAGUCAUAGCUCAGUGAUCAACCAUCUGCUUGGCAAGCAGAAGGUCCCAGGUUCAAUUCUGGUAUCUCCC
rnacentral:tRNA from 1 species